rnacentral:pre_miRNA from 1 species
AUCACCCAGGGAUCUUGUUAAAACAGGUUUUGAUUCAGCCACUCUAGGAUGGGGCCCAAGAUUCUGUAUUUCUAACAAGCUCCCAGGUGAUAUGGC